rnacentral:rRNA from 1 species
GACGAACGCUGGCGGCGUGCUUAACACAUGCAAGUCGAACGGAAAGGCCCUGCUUUUGUGGGGUGCUCGAGUGGCGAACGGGUGAGUAACACGUGAGUAACCUGCCCUUGACUUUGGGAUAACUUCAGGAAACUGGGGCUAAUACCGGAUAGGAGCUCCUGCUGCAUGGUGGGGGUUGGAACGUUUCGGCGGUUGGGGAUGGACUCGCGGCUUAUCAGCUUGUUGGUGGGGUAGGGGCUUACCAAGGCUUUGGCGGGUAGCCGGCAUGAGAGGGUGACCGGCCACAUUGGGACUGAGAUACGGCCCAGACUGCUACGGGGGGCAGCAGGGGGGAAUAUUGCACAAUGGGCGGAAGCCUGAUGCGGCAACGCCGCGGGCGGGAUGACGGCCUUCGGGUUGUGAACCGCUUUCGCCUGUGACGAAGCGUGAGUGACGGUAAUGGGUAAAGAAGCACCGGCUAACUACGUG